GACGAACGCUGGCGGCGCGCCUAACACAUGCAAGUCGAACGAGCGAGAGAGAGCUUGCUUUCUCAAGCGAGUGGCGAACGGGUGAGUAACGCGUGAGGAACCUGCCUCAAAGAGGGGGACAACAGUUGGAAACGACUGCUAAUACCGCAUAAGCCCACAGGUCGGCAUCGACCAGAGGGAAAAGGAGCAAUCCGCUUUGAGAUGGCCUCGCGUCCGAUUAGCUAGUUGGUGAGGUAACGGCCCACCAAGGCAACGAUCGGUAGCCGGACUGAGAGGUUGAACGGCCACAUUGGGACUGAGACACGGCCCAGACUCCUACGGGAGGCAGCAGUGGGGAAUUUGGAACAAUGGGGGAAACCCUGAUGCAGCGACGCCGGGGGGAGGAAGAAGGUUUUCGGAUUGUAAACUCCUGUUGUUGAGGAAGAUAAUGACGGUACUCAACAAGGAAGGGACGGCUAACUACGG
rnacentral:rRNA from 1 species